rnacentral:lncRNA from 1 species
GUGAGAGGGUGAACUGGGAGCGCAGAAACAGCACAGAAGUUGUGGCAGGCAGGAAGGCAUGAAACCUGAAAGCCCUACUUGCUUUCCCAGCGGGAAGGCCUGGAGCCUGGGACAAAUCCUCAGCCCUGCUUACCCACUGCCUGGAAAUAAACCUGGUGCUGUUGGGGGGGUUGGCACGGUGAAAGUAAGACCGGCCUUUUGGGCUGUGUGGGAGCUGGGUGAGAGCUAGGUGGGGGCUGUAACUGCUGGCUUUCCUCCACUUCCCUGGCAACCUGCAUGAUGCAGCAGAGGCAGCCAUAAUCACCCUGGGAAUAUAACUCCAUUGGCCUGAAAAUGACACCCCCAUUCCCCACAGCAGCCUCAGCAAGCACUGCCUGAGGAGAGUCUGAGCUCAGACAUGCCUUACCCUGCCCCAAACUUAUGGUCUUUCUCUACCCACCCUGGUAGCUGAAGACAAAGGACAUAAUCUCUUGGGAGCUGUAUGGCCACACCAACUACCUGAGAAACUUUUCCAGGUGACACUAGGGUAAGCCUGUAUCCUCUCUAUAGUACCACAGCUGAUGCUGUUUUGAAAGUGCCACCUCUUGGCUGGAGGCCAACAAACCCAAAACUAGCACAGUAAACAAAACUGCAACCAAGGACCCUCACAGAGUCUACUUUACUCACCUGCUAUCUCUACCAGAGCAGGUGCUGGUAUCCAGGGCUGAGAAAACUGAAGAUGGAUCACAUCACAGGACUCUUUGCAGACACUCCCCAGUAGCAGCCUGGAGCCUGGUAGCUCUGCUGGGCAGCUAGAUCCAGAAGAGAAGUAACAACCUCUACAGUUUGGCUCUCAUGAAGCCUCAUCCCUGAGCACCCACAUCCAG